rnacentral:rRNA from 1 species
CUGCGGAAGGAUCAUUAUAGAAUUAAAAGGAGAGUGCACUUGAUUGUGGCUCCCAAUUUUUUCAAACCCAUCACCC